rnacentral:rRNA from 1 species
CCUACGGGAGGCAGCAGUGAGGAAUAUUGGGCAAUGGACGCAACUCUGACCCAGCCAUGCCGCGUGAGUGAAGAAGGUUCUCGGAUUGUUAAGCUUUUUUGGUCGUGACGAUGAUGACGGUAGCAUCUAAAGAAGCCCCGGCUAACUUCGUGACAGCAGCCGCGGUAAUACGAAGGGGGCCAGCGUUGUUCGGAAUUACGGGGCGUUAAGGGGGUGUAGGCGGGUUAGUAAGAUAGUGGUGAAAUCCCAGAGCUUAACAUUGGAAUUGCCAUUAUCACUAUUAGACUAGAAUUACAGAGAGGAGAGUGGAAUGCCCAGUGUAGAGGUGAAAUUCGUAGAUAUUGGGUAGAACACCAGUGGCGAAGGCGACUAUCUGGCUGUACAUUGACGCUGAGGCUCGAAAGCAUGGGGAUCAAACAGGAUUAGAUACCCCUGUAGUC